CGCGCGGCGCGGCUUCGGCGUAAAACCGAAAGCAAAAAUUUAGACGGGGGCGGGAAGUGUCUCUGUCUCUCGUCCCCCAACAAAGCCACGUACAGUGGCGGAGCUCCAAAAAGUCCGACUCGGGUCUUAGAUGAAGUCUGGUGUCUGCUAGCAAGACACACAGCAUACUGACGGGACUGAUGGCCAGCGUCCUAGAGACCCCAGAGACUCCAAAGCUGUUUCAGACCCUUUGCUCUGAGCCCAGAGUCCAGGAUCGCUUUCCCCCCCAGACUCUUGCUUCAUGCUGCGUGAUGCUUCUCCUGAUUGCGGCAUGGAUUCUACACUACCAUCCACCUGUGGUUAAAGUGCUGCUUAAGUUACAGGAUCUUGUGAUGACUGAAAGGUCAUGGUGAGACAAUGAGAGAUAAAGUCACAAAGAUACAAUGGGGGUAGAUGCAAUAUUAGCUUAGAGCAGAAAACUCAGCCUGCCAGGCACGGAUGUCCUCAGGAGAACUAUAUGACACCCCGACAGGGGAGGGUGAAAAGAGUGAGAAUGGAAGAGGAGGACACAGGUUUCGAUCCAGGGACUCUGGGAUCUGGGGCAUGGAGACAGGCAGAGUUUGAUUUAAGUAACUUUCCAAAGCCUUGCAAAUGGAAAUAUCUGAACCAUUCUUCUUGAUUUUGGCAAAGAAGAAUUCAAGAACAGAAAGAGGCAGGAUUGGGCGGUACCCUCUCUGCUGUGGGGACCGGUUUAGCUCUUCCCCUUUUGACAUUUCCGUGGUUGAGAGGGAAUCGACACCCUCUUCAUUCCUGAUUGGCUGAGGUCAGUUUCCCUCUCUGCCUUCCUUCCCUGUGUCCCCAUGACUAGUUUCUCUAACUUCACCAGGUCGGAGCAUUCAGCCCCUGUCUGGGAAUUGCCUAUAUCUUGCUUUGGCUAAUCUGAAAGCUGGGUCACUGGUCUUAGAUGACCUGAGGGUGUGU
rnacentral:lncRNA from 1 species